rnacentral:rRNA from 1 species
UACGGGGGGGGUAAGCGUUGUUCGGAAUUACUGGGCGUAAAGGGCUCGUAGGCGGCCAACUAAGUCGGACGUGAAAUCCCUCAGCUUAACUGGGGAACUGCGUCCGAUACUGGAUGGCUUGGAUUUGGGAGAGGGAUGCGGAAUUCCAGGUGUAGCGGUGAAAUGCGUAGAUAUCUGGAGGAAUACCGGUGGCGAAGGCGGCAUCCUGGACCGGCAUUGACGCUGAGGAGCGAAAGCUAGGGGAGCAAACGGGG